GGCUGCUCCUGGUUUACAGGCUCUGUAAGACAAAAGCAACUUCCCAGUACUUCCCUAUGACAGAGUCAAGAGGGGAAUACUUUGAUAAUAGAUAAAUUUUUCUCCUUUUAUGUGCUAAUAAAUUAAAUAAAAAAUAUCUUGAUUAAAAGCAGUGUUUUGAGUGGAAGAUAACAGGAACCAUCUCCUAUCAAUGAGUAGUACAGAGUUAUCCCCUUCCAUUUGUUAAUUUUUUAUAGAUCUGCAUUUCCGGGAUAAAGUCUUUGGUCACUGAUUCCUGGUAGGAGGACAAGUACAGGAAUUUUUUGUAAAUUGAAGAGUUUGCUGUUGCAAGAAGUUUGUUCUCUGCAUUUUAAGGAUAACUACAAAAUGUCAAGCUGCUGCCUGUUACCAGAAAGGAUGAGGCUGGGGUAAAAGGCAAGUCUUACAUAACUAUACAGUGCUUCUGAAGAGUCAGUAGAUCUGGUAUUGUAUGAAAUCUACCGUUCUGAAAAUGCUUCUGUAAAAUAUAUAUCUGA
rnacentral:lncRNA from 1 species